ACAGCCUUGGGUUCAACAUUGUGCUUUAUGGUUUGGGUUCUAAGAGAGAUUUACUAGAAAGGUUUCGAACCACUAUGCUGCAAGAUUCCAUUCACGUUGUCAUCAAUGGCUUCUUUCCUGGAAUCAGUGUGAAAUCAGUCCUGAAUUCUAUAACAGAAGAAGUCCUCGAUCAUAUGGGUACUUUCCGCAGUAUACUGGAUCAGCUAAACUGGAUAGUAAACAAAUUUAAAGAAGAUUCUUCUUUAGAACUCUUCCUUCUCAUCCACAAUUUGGAUAGCCAGAUGUUGAGAGGAGAGAAGAGCCAGCAAAUCAUUGGUCAGUUGUCAUCUUUGCAUAACAUUUACCUUAUAGCAUCCAUUGACCACCUCAAUGCUCCUCUCAUGUGGGAUCAUGCAAAGCAGAGUCUUUUUAACUGGCUCUGGUAUGAAACUACUACAUAUAGUCCUUAUACUGAAGAAACCUCCUAUGAGAACUCUCUUCUGGUAAAGCAGUCUGGAUCCCUGCCACUUAGCUCCCUUACUCAUGUCUUACGAAGCCUUACCCCUAAUGCAAGGGGAAUUUUCAGGCUACUAAUAAAGUACCAGCUGGACAACCAGGAUAACCCUUCUUACAUUGGUAUCCAAUAUUUAUGACAUUCAAUUGUGUAAUUUUUGUUUUACCCUGUACAUUUCCUGUCUCUGGAAUUUAAUGACAGCAGUGCAGUUUUUCACAGCAGUGAGUAAGUGGUCACUCAUGAUGGGUAUGUCUGCCACAUAGCAAAUUUUCAAGCAGCUCUACAGAUCCACUGCUGAGCAAGGUGUUUGCCAACACAAAUUGAAAGACAAACCCAGCUUACUUUUAAAAUUUUCUGUGCUAACUAUGGAUGUGUAUCUGCCAAGUACAUAUUUUUCAUAUUCUAGGCAUCUUAGGAGAUUUUCUUCCCCUUUGGCAAAAAUGAUUUCAACAAACAUUUUAAUAAUCGUUCUGCUCUCAUGACUUACUUGUUCCUUCUUUAAAAGUCCUAUCAAUACUUGUUCACUGCUCUGGGAUAACAUGCAAAUAGCACUUUUAUUCUGUUCUUUUGUAUGGGUGUUUGUAUAUUGGGUCAUGUCUUAAGUGCUGACUUAUGUUCAUAUCCUUUUGAACUUGCCAGGCCUUUCUUUUCAAGAUUUUUACCAGCAGUGUCGGGAGGCAUUCCUCGUCAAUAGUGAUCUGACACUCCGGGCCCAGUUAACUGAAUUUAGGGACCACAAGCUUAUAAGAACAAAGAAGGGAACUGAUGGAGUAGAGUAUUUAUUAAUUCCUGUUGAUAAUGGAACAUUGACUGAUUUCUUGGAAAAGGAAGAAGAGGAGGCUUGAAGCUUUCCUUUAUUCUUGAAUCUCCCAUGGAAGGGUUGUACCCCAGCUGCCACUCCUCUAGUUGAAAGUGUUGUGUUUACAUCUGACAUUAAAUUAUUUUUCCAGCAUACAAGAUUUAAAUUUGGGAAGGGGGGGAUGUCCUCAAUUAGAACUUUUUGAUCAGCCUGGCUGGUACCGUCUAGUACUAUGCAGCGGUCCUCAAGUUGGAGAAAAUGUGCCUUUCAUUCAUUACCUCUCUGGAGACUUCUUGCUGGAAUGAACAGUGUGCUCAGGGACUAUUUGGAACUGGAUGUUUUUGAAUUAUUUUAUACUUAGAGAUAUUCUGAAUUUUUUGAGGGCCUUUUAACACUCCCCGAGCUGAUUGUUUGCAAGUGUGUUUGUUCCAGAGUGUGGAAGUAUAAAGACAUGGGCAUCAUGUAAAUUGGCUUUGUUUGCUAUUCUGUGUGUCAGAACCAACGAGUGUAAUGGAGAGGGCAGGUCAUCUCUUAUUGUUUCUAAAACAACUUAAAAGGUGUAGAUUGGGAAGAGGUGAGUGAUCCAGCUUUCUCCUUUUGGAUUGAGGCUAUGUACUUGGUGGGGGCAGGGGAGGGAAUAUAUUAUAAUACUAUUCAGUUGGGAUAAUGGGAAAAACAGAGUAUAUAGGGUAUCUACCCAGCCUAGAAAGCACAGGAACAAUACGUCAUAUAUUUGGAACAGUUAUUGUCUGUGCCAUGACCUUCAUGAUACCAGUGAGAAGCCAGGCUAGAGAAAUAAAAUCCUGAAUUACAUUUUAGUAAUUGUUUUCAAGACAACAAAAAAUAAAACAUUUCAUUAUUCUUGUAUAUUGACAUAUUUUUCUUUUCUUGAA
rnacentral:sRNA from 1 species